CACGUAGGGCGCAAGCGUUGUCCGGAAUUAUUGGGCGUAAAGAGCUCGUAGGCGGUCUGUUGCGUCCGCUGUGAAAACUCGGGGCUUAACCCCGAGCCUGCAGUGGAUACGGGCAGACUAGAGGUAGGUAGGGGAGAAUGGAAUUCCCGGUGUAGCGGUGAAAUGCGCAGAUAUCAGGAGGAACACCUAUGGCGAAGGCAGCUCGCUGGGACGGUAUUGACGCUGAGACGCGAAAGCGUGGGGAGCGAACAGG
rnacentral:rRNA from 1 species